rnacentral:rRNA from 1 species
CCUGGUUGAUUCUGCCAGUAGUCAUAUGCUUGUCUCAAAGAUUAAGCCAUGCAUGUCUAAGUAUAAGCAAUUGUACGGCGAAACUGCGAAUGGCUCAUUAUAUAAGUUAUCGUUUAUUUGAUAGUACCUUACUACAUGGAUAACCGUGGUAAUUCUAGAGCUAAUACAUGCUGAAAAUCCCGACUCCGGAAGGGAUGUAUUUAUUAGAUUAAAAACCAAUGCCCUCUGGGCUCCCUGGUGAUUCAUGAUAACUGCUCGAAUCGCAUGGCCUUGCGCCGGCGAUGGUUCAUUCAAAUUUCUUCCCUAUCAACUUUCGAUGUUUGGGUAGUGGCCAAACAUGGUGGCAACGGGUAACGGAGGGUUAGGGCUCGACCCCGGAGAAGGAGCCUGAGAAACGGCUACUACAUCCAAGGAAGGCAGCAGGCGCGCAAAUUACCCAAUCCCGACCCGGGGAGGUAGUGACAAUAAAUACCGAUACAGGGCUCUUUUGGGUCUUGUAAUUGGAAUGAGUACAAUUUAAAUCCCUUAACGAGGAACAAUUGGAGGGCAAGUCUGGUGCCAGCAGCCGCGGUAAUUCCAGCUCCAAUAGCGUAUAUUAAAGUUGUUGUGGUUAAAAAGCUCGUAGUUGAACCUUGGGCCUGGCUGGCCGGUCCGCCUCACCGCGUGCACUGGUCCGGCCGGGCCUUUCCCUCUGUGGAACCCCAUGCCCUUCGCUGGGCGUGGCGGGGAAACAGGACGUUUACUUUGAAAAAAUUAGAGUGCUCCAGGCAGGCCUAUGCUCGAAUACAUUAGCAUGGAAUAAUGAAAUAGGACGCGCGGUUCUAUUUUGUUGGUUUCUAGGACCGCCGUAAUGAUCAAUAGGGACAGUCGGGGGCAUCAGUAUUCAAUUGUCAGAGGUGAAAUUCUUGGAUUUAUUGAAGACUAACUACUGCGAAAGCAUUUGCCAAGGAUGUUUUCAUUAAUCAGGAACGAAAGUUAGGGGAUCGAAGACGAUCAGAUACCGUCGUAGUCUUAACCAUAAACUAUGCCGACUAGGGAUCGGGCGAUGUUAUUUCUUGACUCGCUCGGCACCUUACGAGAAAUCAAAGUGCUUGGGCUCCAGGGGGAGUAUGGUCGCAAGGCUGAAACUUAAAGAAAUUGACGGAAGGGCACCACCAGGGGUGGAGCCUGCGGCUUAAUUUGACUCAACACGGGGAAACUCACCAGGUCCAGACACGAUGAGGAUUGACAGAUUGAGAGCUCUUUCUUGAUUUUGUGGGUGGUGGUGCAUGGCCGUUCUUAGUUGGUGGAGUGAUUUGUCUGCUUAAUUGCGAUAACGAACGAGACCUUAACCUGCUAAAUAGCCCGCGCUGCUCCGGCAGCGCGCCGGCUUCUUAGAGGGACUAUCGGCUCAAGCCGAUGGAAGUUUGAGGCAAUAACAGGUU